rnacentral:rRNA from 1 species
CCUACGUGGGGCAGCAGUGAGGAAUAUUGGUCAAUGGGCGCGAGCCUGAACCAGCCAAGUAGCGUGAAGGAUGACUGCCCUACGGGUUGUAAACUUCUUUUAUAAAGGAAUAACGCGCCUUACGUGUAGGGCUUUGCAUGUACCGUAUGAAUAAGGACCGGCUAAUUCCGUGCCAGCAGCCGCGGUAAUACGGAAGGUCCGGGCGUUAUCCGGAUUUAUUGGGUUUAAAGGGAGCGUAGGCCGCAUGUCAAGCGUGCUGUGAAAUGUCCGGGCUCAACCCGGGCCUUGCAGCGCGAACUGGCGUGCUUGAGUCCGCGGAAAGCAGGCGGAAUUCGUGGUGUAGCGGUGAAAUGCUUAGAUAUGACGAAGAACCCCGAUUGCGAAGGCAGCUUGCUGCAGCGGAACUGACGCUGAUGCUCGAAAGCGCGGGUAUCGAACAGGAUUAGAUACCCGAGUAGUC